UCCAGACUCCUACGGGAGGCAGCAGUGAGGAAUAUUGGUCAAUGGGCGGAAGCCUGAACCAGCCAAGUCGCGUGAGGGAAUAAGGCCCUACGGGUCGUAAACCUCUUUUGCCGGGGAGCAAGGGCGGGGACGUGUCCCGGCCCGGAGAGUACCCGGAGAAAAAGCAUCGGCUAACUCCGUGCCAGCAGCCGCGGUAAUACGGAGGAUGCGAGCGUUAUCCGGAUUUAUUGGGUUUAAAGGGUGCGUAGUCGGGCAUUUAAGCCGGCGGUCAAAUGUCGGGGCUCAACCCCGGCCUGCCGUCGGAACUGGGUGCCUUGAGUGGGCGAGAAGUAUGCGGAAUGCGUGGUGUAGCGGUGGAAUGCAUAGAUAUCACGCAGAACCCCGAUUGCGAAGGCAGCAUACCGGCGCCCUACUGACGCUGAGGCACGAAAGUGCGGGUAUCGAACAGGAUUAGAUACCCGCGUA
rnacentral:rRNA from 1 species